rnacentral:rRNA from 1 species
GACGAACGCUGGCGGCGUGCUUAACACAUGCAAGUCGAACGGAAAGGCCCUGCUUGCAGGGUACUCGAGUGGCGAACGGGUGAGUAACACGUGGGUGAUCUGCCCUGCACUUCGGGAUAAGCCUGGGAAACUGGGUCUAAUACCGGAUAGGAGCCAUUUUUAGUGUGAUGGUUGGAAAGUUUUUUCGGUGUAGGAUGAGCUCGCGGCCUAUCAGCUUGUUGGUGGGGUAAUGGCCUACCAAGGCGGCGACGGGUAGCCGGCCUGGGAGGGUGGACGGCCACAUUGGGAACGAGACACGGCCCAGACUCCUACCGGAGGCAGCCGUGGGGAAAAUUGCACAAUGGGGCCCAGCCUGAUGCCGCCACGCCGGGUGGGGGAUGACCGCCCUCCGGUUGGUAACUUCCUUCCCCAGGGACGAAGCUUUUUGUGACGGUACCUAGAUAAGAAGCACCGGCUAACUACGUG